UACGGAGGGAGCUAGCGUUUUUCGGAAUUACUGGGCGUAAAGAGCAUGUAGGCGGCUAGUUAAGUUGAAAGUGAAAUCCCAGGGCUCAACCCUGGAACUGCUUUCAAAACUGGCUAACUAGAGUAUGAUAGGGGACAGUGGAAUUCCUAGUGUAGAGGUGAAAUUCUUAGAUAUUAGGAGGAACACCGGUGGCGAAGGCGACUGUCUGGAUCAUUACUGACGCUGAGAUGCGAAAGCGUGGGGAGCAAAC
rnacentral:rRNA from 1 species